GUGAGUCAUCGAAUCUUUGAACGCACCUUGCGCUCCUUGGUAUUCCGAGGAGCAUGCCUGUUUGAGUGUCAUUAAUAUAUAUAUCAACCCUCUUUUGUUGAGUGGUUGGAUGUGAGGGUUUGCUGGACUCUUAAAAGGGUUCAGCUCCCUUGAAAUGCAUUAGCAGAACAACCUGUUCAUUGGUGUGAUAACUAUCUACACUAUUGAAUGCAAUGGCCAGUUCAGCUUUCUAACCGUCCUUGGACAAUUUAUCAUUAAUGUGACCUCAAAUCAGGUAGGACUACCCGCUGAACUUAAGCAUAUCAAUAAGCGGAGG
rnacentral:rRNA from 1 species